GAUGAAGAACGUAGCGAAAUGCGAUAAGUAAUGUGAAUUGCAGAAUUCAGUGAAUCAUCGAGUCUUUGAACGCACAUUGCGCCCCCUGGUAUUCCGGGGGGCAUGCCUGUCCGAGCGUCAUUGUUGCCCUCAAGCACGGCUUGUGUGUUGGGCCCCCGUCCCCGGUUUCCCCCGGGGACGGGCCCGAAAGGCAGCGGCGGCACCGCGUCCGGUCCUCGAGCGUAUGGGGCUUUGUCACCCGCUCUGUAGGCCCGGCCGGCGCCAGCCGACACCCAACUUUAUUUCUAAGGUUGACCUCGGAUCAGGUAGGGAUACCCGCUGAACUUAAGCAUAUCAAUAGCGGAGGA
rnacentral:misc_RNA from 1 species